CCUCUCUCAGGAUUGCACCUGGAGAGUGUCCAGUACUAUACCAGUCUCGACUAUGGGAGGGAGAAUCAAGCAGAGGUUUGUCCAUUCCAUUCUUAGCUUGGGCAGUGGCUAGUGAGUGGAAGGCAAUCUGCUACAAGU